GUUGAUGAGUACAUGUAAGCUCAUGGAUGCGGCGCCUUCAAAGGUGCCAAGUCCUCUUCCCAUCUGACAACGUUUCCUCUCCAGGGCGAUGGAGCCUACGAGGGCUACGGUGCUACGUCGAAGCGAACUACAGCCAGAUAUCUCUACCGUCUCUACACUCUACCGUGCGCCAAUGUGGUGUCUCUGGUGGUCAGACAACGGCCCGAUCUGUGAGCACUGCAACACGUUACUGCAUUGUCACAGUUUAUGAGCGAAUUUCAACGUGGUUGAAACUGCGGUCGUCUAACGGUAAAGACUGUGGUUUAAUUUCGACGGUGAACCUGUUGCAUGUAAAUUAUGAGCGGAAAUUUUUAUCCAACAACAACUAAGACACGAUCCAUGACGCGUCCUUCAACGUGCGUCGAAGAUUUUCAGUGCCGCAAACUUAGGUACGCGGAGGGCUUGAAACGCCACCUCGUAGAUUCCAAUGAUCACGCGGAGCAAGACGAGACAGGCGGUACUUGUCAAGCUUCAUCAUCGAAAAGAAGGCAUGUUUCGCCUUCGAACGUCUGCAGCAGGCGCUUCCGCUCAUCGAUUCCCCCCAACACAGGCGUAAAUAAUCGCCUGGAGCCUGCUAAGUCGUGUCAAGAAUACAGUGCAUUCUACGAAGACACUGCAACUGGAAGAAAAAGCAGGCAGUCGAAGACAUGUUCUCGGUGCUUCAAAACUUUCACUACAGCGGUUCAACUUCAGAUGCAUGCAACGUCGCACCAUGUGCCGUACAAGUGCCCUCUGUGCUCGCAGACCUUUUCGGGGUUAUCACUUUUAAAAACGCAUAUCAAUUCAAUUCAUGUGUAAGUGCCGUGUUGAACUAGAACAUUAUAUUUGAGCUGAGUAGUAAAAUGAUCAACUUCUCAGCCACUUAUUUUCGAUGUAUGUCCUGUGAAUUGGAAGUCGUAUAAUCUGACCUUGCUUGAGUGUCAUGUGUGCAACAAGAAGCACUAUUUUGUAACAUUUGACUUGGACAAACUCCUGCCAUGCCCAUAGUAAGCUUUUGGAGCUCAAGGACUUACCACAUUUGCUCAGGAUCUGCAUGAAAACAAGCAUUACUUCCCAAAGGCUGGUUGUUGCUUUUUGGUUGUGUUGGUCUUGCCAAAUUUGUCUGUCGCACAAGUUGCCUUUUGCAAGAUCGCCCUGUACAUGCUAAAGCAUGAAGUCGGCUGGUCACUAUCACCACAUCACCUGCAUCUACUUGAACAGGAUGCUAAUUCCCGGAGAACCCAAGAGGCAAUGAAGUCUCAUGCUAGUUUUUUUUUCAAUUUCUGGAGGUAAUUGAUUUUGCAUGACAGUGGUGUUAUGGUACGCAAUAAUGAAGCAGAGCACUCAUUGGCAGAACUAAGGACAACUCUUGCUAGCUUUGCUACAACAUUGUGUCCAUCCAUCGUUUUGUAAAUCCUCUUGUAUUUGACUGUAGUCAGAUUGAUGUAAUUUAUUUCAAUAUGAUCAAAGCUUUCAAUGAAGUUUCAACAAAUACUAUUGCAGAAACUGAAACAUUAGGCAUUAUGUCCACAUUAUUGUGCAUGGUCUCAAAGCUACUUGAAAAAUCUUCGAAACUAAGUGAAGUUUUCCUAGUGCUUCUCUGAACAGUUUAAAUCUUUUUCAGGCAAGUACCAGGUAGGCUUGACACACUUAUAUUUUUAGUUUUUAUUAAUGACUUGCCAUUACACUUGGAGAACAGAUGAUAUUGUUUACUGAUGAUCUAAAAUUGUUCAGAAAGAUCGAGUGUUCACGACUGCCGUUCACUGCAGAGUGACAUUCUCAGUCCAGCAAUGGUGUGUAGUAAAACUUGCUCACUAGAAAGCUUGAUUGCUUAACGUUUGACUAUUAUCUUUUUGGCGGGAAUGUUUGCUGGAUUUAUUACAUAGGGGACCUUGGUGUCGAGGUUGACUGUUGGUUGGAUUUUUAUUUGCGUGUGUCACAUGUUAAUCUAGCACUAAGAACUUGUGGCAAGCUUUCACAUGAACCAAAAAAUUUUUCGCACAUUACAAUGUCUUGUGGGUCUCUAUUGCCCUCUUAUGUGGUUGCGUCUUGAGUUCGCAUCUAUGGUGUGGAACUUGCCUUCUCUUGCAUUUAAUGGCCCAAUUGAAAAAAGUGCCAAGAUUUGCAUGUGCUGUAUACAACAGGUAUGUCAAGCGCCGACAGUUUUACAACUACAGUUGUAUUUUCACGGAUCUUGGGCUGGAAAACGUGCCCUAUGGAAGACUUGCGCAUGACAUAACUGUUUGCACAUAGUUGAGUGUGGUACAUUUGAGUGUGAUGUACUUUUGUCAUUACUGUGUUAUCGUGUUCUGUGUGGCAAAACCCACAAGUGUAUACAUACAUUUUACAAAGAUUUUAGGUCCAUCCUUUCACAAUGACAUAUUUGACAUGUCUAUAAAUGCAAAUUUCAUUUCUAUUUAACAUUUAGACGGUUUAAGAGGAGUGCUUAAAAACCGAAAAGGCACCGAGAUGUUUAUUUUGUGCGACAAAUGCAUCGACAUGCACUAUCAAGCAGGCCACUCGGCUGUUGACCAGCACUGAAAUGAACUAUCCGACAGUGUACAGUU
rnacentral:lncRNA from 1 species